rfam:Triticum aestivum genome assembly, contig: Triticum_aestivum_CS42_TGACv1_scaffold_580685_7BL
AAUAUACUCCCUCCGUUCGGAAUUACUUGUCCAAGAAGUAAAUGCAUCUAGAUGUAUUUUAGUUGUAGAUACAUUCAUUUUCGUGACAAGUAAUUCCGAACAGAGGGAGUAUAAG